rnacentral:lncRNA from 1 species
CAAUAGAAAUAGUUGGAAUGUGAGUGCUUUGUGUUUGCAUGUUUGACAGGUUGAAAGAAGGAAGAGACACCUUUGCUCUGGGUCCUUGAAGUUCCUUGGAGAGGGCAGGACCAAGAGCAUCUCAGUGACAAACAUAAUGGACUGAAAUCCAGGGUCCCUCUGCAAUUUUCCAGCACUGUAUUGGUUCUAAUUUUGAAGUACACAGAUGAAGAUAAAGAUACACUGGAGAGGAAAACAUUUUUCCCAGAGAAGCAGAACGGAGAGUGUGAAGUGCUAAAGACCCAGAAAAGGGAUGAUGAUUAGAAUUUCAGGUAUUCUUGAGCUGUUGGAUCAAUUGAAAAUGCAUGAGUUUUUCAAUUUUUACAGAAUACUGUAAGUGAAAAAAAUUGUCAUGCCAGUUUACAGUUAAACAUUGCUGACUUGUAGUUUUAACAAAGCAAUUCAUAUUACUAUGAAUUGGAGAUGGCAAAGAUCUGCAUUAUGACUAAAUCUGUCCAUCUGCUGAGUUCUUAACUUCAGUUAUUCU